UGGGGAAUCUUGCACAAUGGGGGCAACCCUGAUGCAGCGACGCCGCGUGAGCGAUGAAGCCCUUCGGGGUGUAAAGCUCUUUCGGCAGGAACGAUAAUGACGGUACCUGAAGAAGAAGCUGCGGCUAACUACGUGCCAGCAGCCGCGGUAAUACGUAGGCAGCGAGCGUUGUUCGGAGUUACUGGGCGUAAAGAGUGCGUAGGCGGUCCUGUAAGUUUGGUGUGAAAUCUCCCGGCUCAACUGGGAGGGUGCGCCGAAGACUGCAGGGCUUGAGUAUGGGAGAGGUAAGCGGAAUUCCUGGUGUAGCGGUGAAAUGCGUAGAUAUCAGGAGGAACACCUGUGGUGUAGACAGCUUACUGGACCAUCACUGACGCUGAGGCACGAAAGCGUGGGUAGCAAACAG
rnacentral:rRNA from 1 species